UGGGGAAUUUUGCGCAAUGGGCGAAAGCCUGACGCAGCAACGCCGCGUGGAGGAUGAAGGCCUUCGGGUCGUAAACUCCUGUCGAUGGGGACGAAAGCCUAACAAUAGGUUUGACUGUACCCGUUGAGGAAGCCACGGCUAACUCCGUG
rnacentral:rRNA from 1 species